GAUGAAGAACGUAGCGAAAUGCGAUAAGUAAUGUGAAUUGCAGAAUUCAGUGAAUCAUCGAAUCUUUGAACGCACAUUGCGCCCCCUGGUAUUCCGGGGGGCAUGCCUGUCCGAGCGUCAUUACAACCCUCAAGCUCAGCUUGGUGUUGGGCCCCGCCGCCCCGGCGGGCCCUAAAGUCAGUGGCGGUGCCGUCCGGCUCCGAGCGUAGUAAUUCUUCUCGCUCUGGAGGUCCGGUCGUGUGCUCGCCAGCAACCCCCAAUUUUUUUCAGGUUGACCUCGGAUCAGGUAGGGAUACCCGCUGAACUUAAGAAUAUCAAUAAGCGGAGGA
rnacentral:misc_RNA from 1 species